CUUCUCCUCCUCCUCUUCUCCUCCCUUCAGCGCUGCCCGCCGCCAGCCACCGCCCUCCUUCCCUCACGCCCCCGAGGCGGCGGGGAGCUGCUCGCACAGGCUCACGCAGGAGGUGAACUCACUAUAUUGUUAUACACCUCGCAAACAAGAAGAAAGCUCAUUUUGGUCUCUGUACAUUUAUACAUUUUCACGGCAAGGGCCCACCUCCUCAUUCUACAGAUGACCAAAUUUUAAAGGCCAGGCAGACAACUUGGAUUCAGAAUAUUCUUUUGCUGCAGCUGUCCAAAAUCUAAAAGCACUGUGUUUAUCUUCACUAAGCACAUCGCUCUACUGCUGCGCCGCAACUUAGCAUCAUCCUGUGUGGAAGUGGUAGCAGAAAUGUGUUGAACAUGGCAACAACGGCAUACCGACAGAGCUCCUCUUUCCUCAGACAACAGCAGUCCGUAGCACAGCAUCAACACUGAACAGAGACUGAGGCUGUAUAACAGCAAAACCACCAAAUGCUCCUGUACCACCCAUCUGGGACAGCACACGCACCCUAAAGAGAUGGUUUAAGAAAUCUGAAUCUCAUCUGACUUUGUUGGCGUUGUCUUGGCCAUGCUGCAGAACUGAAAGGAGCAGUCAACAAACGUUGUUCCUGGAUAACAAGACAGAUGUUACUGCAUUACACACCGCACUGGACAUAAGACCGGAUGGUCCAGUGAGCUGUUGCAACUAAGUGAAAAACUGAUGCGGAACUGUAGUCCCUCUGGAUUUGGUAUUACGCAGCGGUGCCAGUGAAUUUUUGCAGUAAAAUGUCUUGAGCUUGUGACAAAAGGAUGUCAGAAAAUCAAAACCGAUGAGUACAACUCCCCUGAAACCUGGCCAACGUUCUCCCACUCACCCACCUGCAGUCAGCAGCAUGGUGUUGUGUUGCGGUGUUUGUCCUUUAUGGUGAAAAAAACGUUAUGGGAUGUCUGCAUGUUGCCAAAAUGGAGAAUCUUUCUUUACAUAGAGAAUCGUAAUAAUCCUACAACUACUAUGUAAUAAAAAUUCAGAAACACAUACAUUAAAAUUCUUAGACGACUCAUGCUCUGCAGCAGCGUUGUAGCAUGCAUUCCUAUCUGCUACAUGGUAUUAAGCUUUUGAAGGGGCUUUUGGACAGUGCUCUGGCUGCUUGAAACACUGAAAUGCUUUGGAAUCCAGCCAUGAGGUUUCGUUACUGGACUGUUUCUCCUACUGUUCACUGAUUUUAAAACCAGAGUGUCAUCCUUCAGCCCCCUCAGUUACUUGCUGGGCCCUACAGUACUUCCAAUUUUACUGAAAAGACCUUUUGUGCACAUUCCAAAUUUGUCUGUGUUCAAAUCCUGUUAAUUCUGGACUGAGGCUGACAUAAAGAAUCUCCAUUCCUUCUGGAACACCUACAUCCACAAAUUUUCUCCUGCAAGGCAGACUUCUCUGGAGAACAAAUGUGGGGUGGGGACAUUUAACAUAACCCUUUGGUGAGCUACCUCCAAACCACAACUUCGGUUAUUUGACUACUUUGGGUCAUUAUUCAUAUAUAAAAAGGAACAGAACCAAAAAGUGAAUCCUUAUUCUAGCUGUGAUCACGUGAACUUCUGAAAAUACUCCAAACAAAUCUUUUCCCAUCCAAAAUGAUGCAAUGGAACUGAAAAGGUAAAGCUACUCCAAGAGCAGGAGCAUCACCUAGACAAUGCUGAGGACAAAUCCAGCAAAGAAUGGGCAUAAAUUUAUCUUCCAAAACAAAUAAUAAAUGUGUUAUUCUUUAUGAACACUUGAUGACAGAUCAAGGCUUAAAAAAAUUCGUAGUUAUCUGCAGUCAAUUUCUUAAUCACUAUAAUAGCUUAAUCCUGCAACAGCAGACAGGUCUUUACCUAGCUUGGGUUAAAUGCAGGAAUGGGAGAUUGUAUAGCUUUCCACCUCUUUCACAUGUUAACUCAUUAAACAUUUUCAAAAACUGAA